rnacentral:tRNA from 1 species
GUAGGCUUGAUCGAAUUGGUACGCUGUCCGCUUUGUAAUCGGAUGAUCAUGGGUUCAAUUCCCAUCUGCU